AACAUAUUCAUAUAAAAAUAACUAAUAAAUUUACAAAUUCAUAAAGAAUUUCAUGCCAAUUUUUUCAACUCUUGUCAGAACCCAGAAGAGCAAAAAGCAAUAGAGGCGGGGAAAGAAAAAAGAGUAAAAGCGAGGGCGGGGAGUGCCCGUAAGUGCGAAGGCGGCGGCCGCCGGUGAGUGCGACGGUGGUGUCAACAAUGGUCGUCGUGAAGCUCGUGCCUCGUGUGGGCCUUCUCCUCUGGUUCUGAUAUGCGAAACAGAACCCUACCAGAAAGAUCGACACGGCGCAUGGUCCUCGGAUCCAGCGAGCACCCUCGCAUAAUUGCUCCUAUCAUCCAGCCUCCGCGUCAGCUCGCUUGGUGGUGUAAACUCGUAGGAUACGAGUUUGCGAGUUUACUCGCGAUUUUAACAACACUGCGCCCAGGUACUACAUAAUCAUAUGCGGUUUCUUGAUAUUCGCCCAAUACCUGGCUUUACAUAAGUGGGUUCAUCUAAUUGUGCAUUUUUUAUUUCAUUAAUCACAAACACUAAUUUGUGUCGACUUCAUUAUCCUGACACCACACCCAGUGAGAUUCUCAACAAUAAGAAGAACUUCACUUGCUUUGUCGACAUCCCCUGUCCAUGAUCAUUCCAAGCCAAAUUCGAUGUAUAUAUAAUUGUACAAGACCUAUUGUAUCAACAAGAGUAGUCUCCAGUCUCAGUACAGAUUUAUCAACCAACAAUUACAUCAACUUGAUGUGCAAGCAACAGCAUUACAAAGAAGCACUUGAUGCAUUUAAUUUCAAUCUAGAGAAAUCGAGUAUCCACCUAGAACCAAGCACUUAUGCGAAUCUAAUACUGGCAUGUACCAACUUUAGAUCUCUAAAUUACGGCAAGAAAAUCCAUGAUCACAUUUCAAAAUCCAAGUGUCAGCCAGACCUUGUUCUCCAAAAUCAUAUUCUUAAUAUGUAUGCAAAAUGUGGUUCUCUGAAGGAUGCUAGAAAAUUUUUUGAUGCUAUGAAGCUGCGUAAUGUGGUCUCUUGGACUAUAAUGAUCUCCGGAUACAUGCAGAAUGAUGAAGAGAAUGAUGCCAUCAUCAUGUAUAUUCAAAUGCUGCGAUCAGGUUAUCUCCCAGACCAAUAUACAUUUGGAAGCAUCAUUAAGGCUUGCUGCAUUGGGGCAGAUAUAGACUUCGGCAGACAACUACAUGGUCAUGUCAUUAAAUCAGGGUAUGAUCAUCACUUAAUUGCACAAAACGCUCUUAUCUCAAUGUAUACGAAGUUUGGACAAAUUUCACAUGCCUCAGGUGUGUUUGCUAUGAUUUCCUCGAAGGAUUUAAUUUCCUGGGCUUCUAUGAUUACAGGGUUUACUCAACUUCGUAAUGACAUAGAAGCUUUAUAUGUUUUCAGAGAUAUGCUCAGGCAAUCUGUUUAUCAACCAAAUGAGUUUAUAUUUGGCAGUGUAUUCAGUGCUUGCGGAAGCCUUCUCGAACCAGAAUUUGGAAGGCAGAUUCAUGGAGUCUGCGCUAAACUUGGUUUAGGGAGGAACAUUUUUGCCGGGUGCUCCCUCUGUGACAUGUAUGCAAAAUUUGGAUUCUUACCUUUGGCAGAAAGGGCAUUUUAUCAAAUUGAAAGCCCGGAUUUAGUGUCAUGGAAUGCAAUUAUUGCAGCAUUUUCUGACAGUGGUCAUGUUAAUGAAGCGGUAUCAUUUUUUCGCCAGAUGAUGCAUACAGGAUUGAUGCCAGAUGACAUUACUUUUCUCUCCUUACUCUGUCCUUGUGGGAGCUUUUUGACACGUAACCAAGGCAUGCAAAUGCAUUCUUACAUUAUUAAAGUAGGUUUAGAUAAGGAAGCAGCUGUAUGCAACUCUUUGUUGACGAUGUACACAAAGUGUUCAAGUCUACAUGAUGCAUUCAAUGUUUUCACAUAUUUGGGUAAAAGAGCCAAUUUAGUUUCCUGGAAUGCAAUUCUAUCGGCAUGCUUGCAGCACAAACAUGCAGGAGAGGCUUUUAGAUUAUUUAAGCUAAUGCUCGUUUCUGAAAAUAAGCCUGACAAUAUCACCAUAACUACCAUAUUAGGUACUUGUGCAGAAUUGGCAUCUCUAGAAGUUGGGAAUCAAGUCCAUUGCUUUACUGUUAAAAGUGGGCUAGUGGUUGAUGUUUCCGUCCGCAAUAGACUGAUUGAUAUGUAUGCAAAGUGUGGAUCACUUAAACAUGCUCGUGAUGUUUUUGAUUCAACCCAGAACCCGGAUAUUGUCUCGUGGAGUAGUUUAAUUGUUGGCUAUGCUCAGUUUGGACUUGGCCAUGAAGCUCUUAAUCUCUUUAGAAUGAUGAGGAAUCUUGGUGUCCAGCCUAAUGAGGUCACAUAUCUGGGGGUUCUCAGUGCAUGCAGUCACAUUGGAUUGGUGGAGGAAGGUUGGCACUUGUAUAAAACCAUGGAAGUGGAACUAGGUAUUGCACCAACAAGAGAGCAUGUUUCUUGCAUAGUUGAUUUGCUUGCUCGUGCUGGAUGCUUGUAUGAAGCAGAGAAUUUUAUUAAGAAAACAGGAUUUGAUCCUGACAUUACUACAUGGAAAACUCUACUCGCUUCCUGUAAAACUCAUGGUAAUGUUGACAUAGGAAAACAAGCUGCAGAAAAUAUAUUAAAACUCGAUCCUUUCAAUUCAGCUGCUCUAGUGCUACUUUCUAAUAUAAAUGCUUCUGCCGGCAACUGGAAAGAAGUUGCGAGACUAAGGCAUUUAAUGAAACAAAUGGGUGUACAGAAGGUUCCUGGUCAAAGUUGGAUAGAAUUUAAGGAUCAGAUCCACGUGUUCUUCUCAGAAGACAGUUCUCAUCCACAGAGCGGCAAAAUCUACACUAUGCUAGAAGAUUUAUGGUUGCAGAUGCUGGAUCAUGGUUAUGAUCCUUGCCAAAGGUUAGAAAUUAGCUUUUGAUAGGUUCUCACCAAUGGUUAUAAUUCUUCCCAUAUCUAUGAUGAUCUUUUACUGAUCCAAUGAAUCAAUGACACUUAAUUUUAAGAGUGGCAUGGCAUCUGAUCAUCAUCCCCAUUUUAUAUUAUAGUAAUACUAAUUAAAGGGGAACUGCAAAACAGUGAAUCAUUACAGAUACCCCUAAAUAAUUGGUUUUCUUCCACUCGCCAAUGGCCAACGUUUUUGUUUUCUGGCAUUCGUUUCAAUCUAGCGGGAAAAUACUGUUGAUAACUUCAGAGCUGGAAAAACAUGGGUUUUGAUUGCUACUGAUGUGGUUGCCCGGUAAAUGGAUUUCAAAGGUGUGAACUGUGUGAUCAAUUAUGAUUUCCCUGAUUCUGCCUCCGCUUAUAUCAACAGAAUUGGUAUCUAUAGCUAUGUUAAUGUUGGUUUAAUCUGAGAAAAGUAUAUGGAUUAUUUAUAGUUAGUAUUAUUCUCAUGGAGACUUUUGUUUCCUAUAUCCACGAAUUAUUAAUAUUGGUUAGCAUCGUGUAUAAGGACAAGUUAAAUUGAAAACAUGGAUAUUUAAUAACCUUGCCGAAAAACAAAAAUAAUUUUGUUCUUCGUUAAUAUCGUUGUGGAGGUACAUUUUUCUGUGUAAAGCAGGUUUUGCAGCUGAGCAUCAAGACAUAUCAGAGAAUGUUAUACGAAGGGAUAAACUUGCAAUGGCAUGCAUAUGUUGAAAAUGAAGGAGACUCAAGAGUGGUGCUGGGGAAAGUAGAGAGAGCAAGAAUGGAAACAACAGCUAUCCAAUUGUCUGCAGAGCACAACGUCAACAUCCAAAUGGAGAGAGAUGAACAAAUUUACUAAAAUAUUGUUAUAUCUUUCCAUGCAUUCUGAUAUACUAAAGCAACAAUCAUUAAACUCCUAUAUUCCUUUUGAUGCGUAGUGUGAUAUUGGAUAAGAGUGAACAAAAUAGCUGAGUUACAGAACAAGUUUGUAUCGUGUACCUCAUUUGUUAAUCAGAUCAUACAACAAAUAUAAAAAAAAUGCCGAAUUUAACAUAUCUAAGGAGUACAUAGUCAAUCAGAACUUAAAUACAACCCAACAUACAUCAAUAAAAUAGAAUAUACACUCAACAAUAGUCAAACUUUAAAACAACAAACAAAGAUUAUCAACUUUGUUGUAAUGCGUAUUGAAUAUAAACAUCACAAUCAGCCCUAUCUAAAUAUAAACAUCAUCAUCAACUCUGAUUUAUCUGAGAGAGAAACUUGAGUUAAAAUAACAAAAUAUUUUACAUCACUUUUAACUCGAAAUGCAGCAGAUAUUUUACCUCAAGCGCAUCUUGUUGAAAGUUUAUUUUGAAAAGCCAAACCAUUGUAAAUGUGAGUAACGAUUAGUGUCCAACACACUAUAGACACAAAAGAUGCACUUCACUUUGAGAUAGUUGCGCAGUUCCCAAACUCAGCACUUCAUAUACUCACAUAAAUUCCUCUACCCACCAAAAUUGUGACUGAACGCAUAAACCGUAGUUAGGAAUUAAAGCUGAGUAUUUCACUCUAAAAAAGAUCGUUUAAGAAAUUUUUAUACUUUUGUUACAACUUAGGAUAACAAGGAGUCGGUUACCGGAACUAUCUAUCCAUUAUCGAUUCAGU